rnacentral:rRNA from 11 species
AUUAGGGUCUAUACGCUCUAAAGGCACUAAAUCCCAUUCGAUUUUGGAAGCAAGUCAGGGUCAGCCCUGUUUCGUAUUUGAAUGGAAGACUGCCAAGGACUAUCAGGUGGUGCAGGCU